rnacentral:misc_RNA from 1 species
GCGGGUAGAGUGAAAAAGACUGCCAUAUAUGAUAAAGAGAGUAAAAGAUUCUCGACCAUGCAAGACGAUGAACGAAAAAGGGCAGAAAGGACAACUUAAGGUGAGCUUUCAACAGUUGUUUUACUCCCAUUCCAUUUGUUCACGUGGAGCAAGAAAAUUUGACAAAACUGAUAUUUGAAAAAAAAAAAAACUAAUAUAUACUUCACUUUCUCUCCCUUCUCUUCUUUUGGACCACUCCAGGGCCUUCACAUCAUGUCUAAAAGCUAACCACCCACUAUCUUUUCUUGCAUAAUAAAUAAUAAUAUCAACCAAAUUGGUCAAGUUCCAUUUCUAGGGCAGUAUUCCAAUCAUGCAAAUGUCAUUCUGUAUUUACCAACCAAUCGGUUUGGUGUAGAACAUCCCUCAUCCUCUUUUAUCCUGUACAUGGUGAUGCUGCUCUGCUCUCAAAUGGCUCAUUUGUUUCUCAUGUUGCCACAAAUCCCACUUGCAUAACUUACAUUUGAGCAUCACAACAGCAUGCCACAGGAAAAACCAUAUGAUGGUUAACUUGAGGGAAGUCAUCUCUCUGUGUGUGCGUCUACAAGAAACUAAUAUACAAGUCAACUGGAACGUCCAUCAAGUCUCGGCCUCAAAUGAUCAGGACCUCUUCUCAGAAUCUCAGCUUCUCUGGCUAUCUGGAU